rnacentral:rRNA from 3 species
GGUGCCUUCGGGAACUGUGAGACAGGUGCUGCAUGGCUGUCGUCAGCUCGUGUUGUGAAAUGUUGGGUUAAGUCCCGCAACGAGCGCAACCCUUAUCCUUUGUUGCCAGCGAUUAGGUCGGGAACUCAAAGGAGACUGCCAGUGAUAAACUGGAGGAAGGUGGGGAUGACGUCAAGUCAUCAUGGCCCUUACGACCAGGGCUACACACGUGCUACAAUGGCGCAUACAAAGAGAAGCGACCUCGCGAGAGCAAGCGGACCUCAUAAAGUGCGUCGUAGUCCGGAUUGGAGUCUGCAACUCGACUCCAUGAAGUCGGAAUCGCUAGUAAUCGUGGAUCAGAAUGCCACGGUGAAUACGUUCCCGGGCCUUGUACACACCGCCCGUCACACCAUGGGAGUGGGUUGCAAAAGAAGUAGGUAGCUUAACCUUCGGGAGGGCGCUUACCACUUUGUGAUUCAUGACUGGGGUGAAGUCGUAACAAGGUAACCGUAGGGGAACCUGCGGUUGGA